rnacentral:rRNA from 1 species
GACGAACGCUGGCGGCGUGCCUAAUACAUGCAAGUAGAACGCACAGUUUAUACCGUAGCUUGUUACACCAUAGACUGUGAGUUGCGAACGGGUGAGUAACGCGUAGGUAACCUGCCUGGUAGCGGGGGAUAACUAUUGGAAACGAUAGCUAAUACCGCAUAAUAUUCAUUAUUGCAUGAUAAUUAAUUGAAAGGUGCAAUUGCAUCACUACCAGAUGGCCCUGCGUUGUAUUAUCUAGUAGGUGAGGUAACGGCUCACCUAGGCGACGAUACAUAGCCGACCGGCGAGGGUGAUCGGCCCAACUGGGAAUUAGACACGGCCCAGGCGCCUACGGGAGGCAGCAGGAGGGAAACUUCGGCAAUGGACGGAAGGCUGACCGAGGAACGCCGCGGGAGUGAAGAAGGGUUUCGGGUCGUAAAGCUCUGUUGUAAGGGAAGAACGAGUGGGGGAGUGGAAAGUUCACACUGUGACGGUAUCUUACCAGAAAGGGACGGCUAACUACGUG